CCUACGGGGGGCAGCAGUGGGGAAUAUUGGGCAAUGGGCGCAAGCCUGACCCAGCAACGCCGCGUGAAUGAAGAAGGCUCUCGGGUUGUCAACUUCUUUUAUCAAGGACGAAACAAAUGACGGUACUUGAUGAAUAAACCACUGCUAACUACGUGCCAGCCGCCGCGGUAAUACGUAGGUGGCCAGCGUUAUCCGGAUUUACUGGUUGUAAAGGGCGUGUAGGCGGGACUGCAAGUCAGAUGUGAAAACCAUGUGCUCAACCAAUGGACUGCAUUUGAAACUGUAGUUCUUGAGUGUUGGAGAGGCAGGCGGAAUUCGGUGUGUAGCGGUGAAAUGCGUAGAUAUACGGAGGAACACCAGUGGCGAAGGCGGCCUGCUGGACAAUAACUGACGCUGAGGCGCGAAAGCGUGGGGAGCAAACAGGAUUAGAUACCCUUGUAGUC
rnacentral:rRNA from 1 species